GGCUCUCUGUAACAAACAGGCACAGGGACGUCAGAGCAGACAGACAGUAACGAACCUGCAUGUUGUACACAGUAGAGGCACAUGAGGAAGGUGUGUUUCUGGUGGAGACCAUGCUCACCUGAGCGGCUGGCCUGGCGUGCUCCUACCUCCUCCACACACUCAGACGGGAACCAGCCAGUCCGGCCCUUCACUGUACCCUCCCAGUAUCCCCCCUCACCCACGCUCAGCACUGAUAAGGGGGGAUGGAUCACAUGGCAGAACAAGAAACACACAAACAGAAUCCCAUUGAAUAUGACCUCGUGGCCACAAAGACCCGUCCUGGGACAGCGCUGUACAGGCGCCUUCGCUGGCUGCCGGAGGUUACCGCACUCCCGGUCGACCCCACCCUUUCCAGAGGGGAGACAUACAGACACAGAGACAUACCUGCACAGAGACAACGGUGCUGCCCGCUGCACUGGGCACUGCCAUCCACUCAGGAACCGUCAUGCUGUUAUCGCUGUUGGCACGAAGGAAGGGGUGAGGAUGUGGAAGC